AUUUACAGUAGCCAAGUAAUAACUAAUGUUUGUGUAAUUUGUAAUUUCAUUGAUCUUCUACAACUAGUUGCAGAUGAAGAAAGAUUUACUGGAAUAAAUUUAUCAGGCCCACGGAGAAAGGUAAAUUUUGGGGCUGUACUUAUAAGUUCUUACUCUAACAAUUUUGGGCUUACAGUUCUUUCUUUUUUUAUUUGUUUGCAGAUGAAAGGCUUAAUCUGAACUGCCCAACCUGUGGACCCGACUUCAGAUAUGGUACAUCACAAUCAGAUUAGUUUGACAUCAUGAUUUCUUAUUAAUGGACACUCUUGGCUUGGAAAGCAAGGUUGCGUGCUAGGGGCCAUCGAACAAUCCCCACUUCAAUUGAUGAGCUUUUCCGUGUUG